AGAGUUUGAUCCUGGCUCAGGAUGAACGCUAGCGGCAGGCUUAACACAUGCAAGUCGAGGGGCAUCGGGAGGGAAGCUUGCUUUCCUUGCCGGCGACCGGCGCACGGGUGAGUAACACGUAUGCAACCUGCCCUCUUCAGGGGGACAACCUUCCGAAAGGGAGGCUAAUCCCGCGUAUAUCGGUUUCGGGCAUCCGAGAUCGAGGAAAGAUUCAUCGGAAGAGGAUGGGCAUGCGGCGCAUUAGCUUGACGGCGGGGUAACGGCCCACCGUGGCGACGAUGCGUAGGGGUUCUGAGAGGAAGGUCCCCCACACUGGUACUGAGACACGGACCAGACUCCUACGGGAGGCAGCAGUGGGGAAUAUUGGUCAAUGGGAGAGAUCCUGAACCAGCCAAGCCGCGUGAGGGAAGACGGCCCUAUGGGUUGUAAACCUCUUUUGUCGGAGAACAAAACCCGGGACGUGUCCCGGACUGCGUGUAUCCGAAGAAAAAGCAUCGGCUAACUCCGUG
rnacentral:rRNA from 1 species